AGAGUUUGAUCCUGGCUCAGAUUGAACGCUGGCGGAAUGCUUUACACAUGCAAGUCGAACGGUAGAGGGGGCAACCCCUCGAGAGUGGCGAACGGGUGAGUAAUAUAUCGGAACGUGCCCAGUCGCGGGGGAUAACGUAGUGAAAAUUACGCUAAUACCGCAUACGAUCUAAGGAUGAAAGCGGGGGAUCGCAAGACCUCGCGCGAUUGGAGCGGCCGAUAUCAGAUUAGGUAGUUGGUAGGGUAAAGGCCUACCAAGCCAACGAUCUGUAGCUGGUCUGAGAGGACGACCAGCCACACUGGAACUGAGACACGGUCCAGACUCCUACGGGAGGCAGCAGUGGGGAAUUUUGGACAAUGGGCGAAAGCCUGAUCCAGCCAUUCCGCGUGCAGGAUGAAGGCCCUCGGGUUGUAAACUGCUUUUGUACAGAACGAAAAGGUCUCUAUUAAUACUAGGGGCUCAUGACGGUACUGUAAGAAUAAGCACCGGCUAACUACGUGCCAGCAGCCGCGGUAAUACGUAGGGUGCAAGCGUUAAUCGGAAUUACUGGGCGUAAAGCGUGCGCAGGCGGUUAUAUAAGUCAGAUGUGAAAUCCCCGGGCUCAACCUGGGAACUGCAUUUGAGACUGUAUAGCUAGAGUACGGUAGAGGGGGAUGGAAUUCCGCGUGUAGCAGUGAAAUGCGUAGAUAUGCGGAGGAACACCGAUGGCGAAGGCAAUCCCCUGGACCUGUACUGACGCUCAUGCACGAAAGCGUGGGGAGCAAACAGGAUUAGAUACCCUGGUAGUCCACGCCCUAAAC
rnacentral:rRNA from 1 species